rnacentral:rRNA from 1 species
AUUGAACGCUGGCGGCAGGCCUAACACAUGCAAGUCGAACGGUAACAGGAAGAAGCUUGCUUCUUUGCUGACGAGUGGCGGACGGGUGAGUAAUGUCUGGGAAACUGCCUGAUGGAGGGGGAUAACUACUGGAAACGGUAGCUAAUACCGCAUAACGUCGCAAGACCAAAGAGGGGGACCUUCUGGCCGCUUGCCAUCGUAUGUGCCCGACGGGUCUAGCUGGUAGGGGGGGUAACGGCUCCCCCGGGUGUCGAUUCCUACCUGGUUUGAGGGGAUGACCCGCCACACUGGAACUGAGACACGGUACAGACUCCUACGGGAGGCAGCAGUGGGGAAUAUUGCACAAUGGGCGGAAGCCUGAUGCAGCCAUGCCGCGUGUAUGAAGAAGGCCUUCGGGUUGUAAAGUACUUUCAGCGGGGAGGAAGGGAGUAAAGUUAAUACCUUUGCUCAUUGACGUUACCCGCAGAAGAAGCACCGGCUAACUCCGU